rnacentral:rRNA from 1 species
UACGGAGGAUGCGAGCGUUAUCCGGAUUUAUUGGGUUUAAAGGGUGCGUAGGCGGCACGGCAAGCCGGCGGUCAAAUCGCGGGGCUCAACCCCGCCCAGCCGUCGGAACUGCCGGGCUAGAGUGGGCGAGAAGUGCGCGGAAUGCGUGGUGUAGCGGUGAAAUGCAUAGAUAUCACGCAGAACUCCGAUUGCGAAGGCAGCGCACCGGCGCCCUACUGACGCUCAGGCACGAAAGCGUGGGUACCGAACAGG